AUUGAACGCUGGCGGCAUGCCUUACACAUGCAAGUCGAACGGCAGCACGGGUGCUUGCACCUGGUGGCGAGUGGCGAACGGGUGAGUAAUAUAUCGGAACGUACCUUAUUGUGGGGGAUAACGCAGCGAACGCUGUGCUAAUACCGCAUACUCCCUAAGGGGGAAAGCGGGGGACCGGAAGGCCUCGCGCAAUUAGAGCGGCCGAUACCUGAUUAGCUAGUUGGUGAGGUAAAGGCGCACCAAGGCAACGAUCAGUGGCUGGUCAGAGAGGACGAUCAGACAAACUUGGCAUGAGACACGGCCCAGGCUCCUACGGGAGGCAGCAGUGGGGAAUUUUGGACAAUGGGGGCAACCCUGAUCCAGCAAUGCCGCUUGAGUGAAGAAGGCCUUCGGGUUGUAAAGCUCUUUUGUCAGGGAAGAAACAGUAGCUCUAACACAGUAUGCGAAUGACGGUACCUGAAGAAUAAGCACCGGCUAACUACGUGCCAGCCGCCGCCGUAA
rnacentral:rRNA from 1 species